UGACCUUCAUGUCCUGGUGGCUCCCGCGU
rnacentral:piRNA from 1 species